rnacentral:tRNA from 2 species
GGGCCUUUAGCUCAGUUGGUCAGAGCUCCCGGCUCAUAACCGGUCGGUCCUGGGUUCGAGUCCCUGAAGGCCCACCA